GAAUUUUGGGCAAUGGGCGAAAGCCUGACCCAGCAACGCCGCGUGAGGGAUGAAGGCCUUCGGGUCGUAAACCUCUGUCAGGAGGGAAGAACGGUUGGCGGUCGAACAGGCCGUCGAUUUGACGGUACCUCCAAAGGAAGGACCGGCUAACUCCGUGCCAGCCGCCGCGGUAAUACGGAGGGUCCAAGCGUUGUUCGGAAUCAUUGGGCGUAAAGCGGGUGUAGGUGGCUUGGCAAGUCGGGUGUGAAAUCCCAAGGCUCAACCUUGGAACUGCAUUCGAAACUUCCUGGCUAGAGUCCCGGAGGGGAUGGCGGAAUUCCCGGUGUAGAGGUGAAAUUCGUAGAUAUCGGGAGGAACACCAGUGGCGAAGGCGGCCAUCUGGACGGUGACUGACACUAAGACCCGAAAGCGUGGGUAGCGAACAGG
rnacentral:rRNA from 1 species